rnacentral:lncRNA from 1 species
CGCCGAAGUCUGUAUGGAAUUACCUGCGCCCGCCGCGGAGCUGGCACCGGUGGAUGGAUGGGCGCCGCGUCCGCGGCACCGGCGGCCAGCUCAGCCCCAGGAGUAAACACGGGGCUUCUCCGGCCGAGUGCGCAGUGUGGUGACCGGCGCUCGCCCCGCUGACCGAUCGCACCGGAGGGAUAUUUUCGGGAGGCUCCUGUGGGAAGCAACCACGGAAAGACAGAAAAUGAAAGCUCCUAUUCCCAACUUGAUUCUCUUGUAUGCUACUCUGACUCAGAGCUUGAAGGUCGUGACCAAAAGGGGAUCAGAUCACUACAAGGUCUGUCAAUUAUGAAGCCAAAGCAUGCACUCUCUCUGACAAACGCAUCAAGGCUUGACGCCUCAUCUGGUCAAGUUUCAUUUGAAGAAGCAAAAACCUUGAAUUGUUAAUGGAUUGUACAAUUUUGCUUUGAUUUUGCUGCUCUCUCACGGGAUAAGAAAUUGGAAAAAUACUUCCUUAGAGUUAUUGUAGCGCUGUCAUAGUCAAGUGUAACAACUUCAUUGUGUUAAGCUCCACGUAUAUCAAGAGAAACAAAAUUAUCCUAUUUCUGUGUAUGUGCAACUAUGCUAAGAGAAAUUAUCUGCAGGGAAAUAAAUUCUAUUUCAGGUUGAGAUUGGAAAAAAAA